UACGUAGGGUGCAAGCGUUGUCCGGAAUUAUUGGGCGUAAAGAGCGUGUAGGCGGCCCGACAAGUCCGCUGUGAAAGUCCAGGGCUCAACCCUGGAAUGCCGGUGGAUACUGUCGGGCUAGAGUCCGGAAGGGGCGAGUGGAAUUCCUGGUGUAGCGGUGAAAUGCGCAGAUAUCAGGAGGAACACCAAUGGCGAAGGCAGCUCGCUGAGACGUGACUGACGCUGAGACGCGAAAGCGUGGGGAGCAAACAGG
rnacentral:rRNA from 1 species